AGGAAAAGAAAUCAACCGAGAUUCCCCCAGUAGCGGCGAGCGAACGGGGAGCAGCCCAGAGUCUGAAUCAGCUUGUGUGUUAGUGGAACGGUCUGGAAAGUCCGACGGUACAGGGUGAUAGUCCCGUACACCAAAAUGCACAGGUUGUGAACUCGAAGAGUAGGGCGGGACACGUGGUAUCCUGUCUGAAUAUGGGGGGACCAUCCUCCAAGGCUAAAUACUCCUGACUGACCGAUAGUGAACCAGUACCGUGAGGGAAAGGCGAAAAGAACCCCGGCGAGGGGAGUGAAAAAGAACCUGAAACCGUGUACGUACAAGCAGUGGGAGCACCUUCGGGUGUGACUGCGUACCUUUUGUAUAAUGGGUCAGCGACUUAUAUUCUGUAGCAAGGUUAACCGUAUAGGGGAGCCGCAGGGAAACCGAGUCUUAACUGGGCGUUAAGUUGCAGGGUAUAGACCCGAAACCCGGUGAUCUAGCCA
rnacentral:rRNA from 1 species